UUGCAUAACCCCCCUACGACGCUUGCUGUUUAGAAAAAAGACGGACACUUCAUUCUGUCUCUGCGAGAUCUGCCGUGCUUCUUCUCCCCUCGCUCCCCGUCCCGACAACCGAUCCUUCUGCCCACCGAUCCGGCUCCUCGGCGAUGGUCGUCUGCAGAUGCCGCAAGGCGACGAGAGUUUAUUGCUUCGUCCACCAGGUUCCCGUCUGCGGCGAGUGCAUCUGCUUCCCGGAGCAUCAGUUGUGCGUGGUAAAAAACUAUGCUGAAUGGGUUGUUAAUUCUGAUUAUGACUGGCCACAACACUGCUCGUUUUGUAAUUCGGUUCUUGAAGCUGGAAAUGAAGAAACUACGCGAUUGGGUUGCCUCCAUGUGAUGCACACAAAAUGCUUCAUAUCACAUGUCCAAAGUUUUCCAACCCAAACAGCACCAGCAGGAUUUGUCUGCCCCUCAUGUUCCAUACCUAUAUGGCCUCCUUUGAGUAUUAAAGAUACCGGAUCUCGCCUUCACACUAAACUGAAGGAAGUAGUAGCCAAGACUGGAUUGGAGAAGAAUGUAUUUGGAAAUCAUUUUGUGACUGCAUCUAAAGCUGAUGUCGGCACCCCCCCUGCAUUUGCUUCAGAUCCCCUUAAGCGUCUAUCUGGUUCUAGUGAAUCUAAUGGUGCAAACACAGUUAACUCUUCGAAAGAUGCUACUUUAUCAUCAGUGGUACUCUCCAAUGAGGAUAAGCGUCCUGCUGGGAUGUACUCCUCUGGGACUCCUAGUCACGUGGAACCAGAAAUAGUUGAGAUAGAUGGACCUAGUCUCAUAACAACCCAGCUCCCAGAACAGGAGUCAAAUUUCAUCAGAAGUCCAAGCCCGCACGGGCCUGGUGCCACGACAAGGAAAGGUGCUAACUAUGUUGAGAGACAAAGUUCAGAGAUGUCCUAUUACGCUGAUGAUGAAGAUGCAAACCGCAAAAAGUAUACUAAAAGGGUUAACAGGUACAUUCCGUCACAAAUUUGUAAGGAUGCUACUACCUUUCUGGUCUAGUGCACUGCCAACAUUACCAGUCACAGCACCCUCUAAAAAAGAGAAUGAUGCUCCAGAAGGCCGCUCACGACAUCAGAGAUCAUCACGAAUCGAUCCCACAAAGAUCUUGCUUGCAAUGGCAAUCAUGGCAUGUGUAGCAACCAUGGGAAUUCUCUACUACCGUUUGUCACAGCGCAGUCUUUCUGAUAACUUUGCGGACGAUGAGGCUCAGUAGUGCUGUUUGUUUCUGGUACUGCCUUGCUGUUGUUCAAGGGUUUUGCCCUCCCUGUAUUAUUCUCCUUUUCUUAUUUCCGGCUUUCUGGGUGGUUGCCUGGUUGGGGCCUUUGGGGGUGGGAAGCUGGGGGUAGUUGUUAGUCACAUAAGAGUUAUAGUAGAUUCUUUUUUAUAUGCUGAUUCAUACUCAUGUUUUGUUACUAUGAUGUUAUAGUGUUAUAUGUUAUCUUACACCUGAUGGGAAAGCACACCUUCAGAAUUGCUAGAGGUGUUACAUUGGUCGACCCAAUUUACAGCUAUGUAAUUUUUCUAGUUUAUAUAUUAUAUAUUAUAUAUUAUUCA